rnacentral:lncRNA from 1 species
GGGGGGGUGUGCACCUGAUGGCAGAGGUGCGUCCUCCGGGAGUGGCCUCUGUUCUGGCGUCCUGUCCUGUGGUUGGCUUCCCUUUGCUCUGUCGCCUGCCAGGGAACGCCCUCAGCUGCUGGUCUGUGGUGGCCGCCCCUCGGAGGUCCUGCCCUCCACUGGGGGUCCCCGCUGUGCAGUUGGGGACUCCGAGGGAGGGCCCAAGUGGGGGUUGCCUGAGGGCCCCCAUCGAUCUUACUGGCCCAUGGGGACCUGUGCAAGUGCAAGCAGGGGGAGGGUUGAGGUUGGCAGACCUGGCCCAAACUGUCCUCCCCCACCCACCAGAAAACAGGUCCCACCCCUCCCUGCACCCAGCAGGCCGUCGUGCGCCAGGUCUGGGUUUUCACGAGGAGCUCUGCUUUGCGAAGCUGCACUGGGACGUCAGAGGUGAGCACCAGGUGCCAGCAGCAUCAUCCACGGGGGAAACCGAGUCUGCCGAGGUGUUAGAGACGUGCCAUCUGCCCGUGCCUUCCUCUGGACGCUUGCACCCCCUAAGCCUUCCGGCCCCCAGCGGCUCCAGCACAUUCCAUUCCUUGCCCACGCAGACGGGCAUUCUGUGGUACCAGGCCCCUGGGUCCCCGGGCCCCAGACCCCACCCUCAUUCUGCACUCUGGGCUCCUGCCCCCUGGCCCCCAGUCCCCAGGGCCCCUGCCCUUCACCGUCACCUCGGUCCCCCCCCCCACCCCCCCCAACCCCCCACCCUGUGCACAGGCCCCGUGCAGAAGGGGAGCCAGGACUCUGGAGGAUGACUGUCACUCCAGAAAACCAGCCUUCGAGCCCAAGUAGGCUGUGCUUGUCCUUCCAAACUUAACUUUCAGAUUUAAUGAGGCUUCCUGUUCAAGAUGUCCAAGUGGGAACCCCUCGGAAGCGGAGCCCCGCAUCAGUUAUGACGGAGAAAGGCAAAUGCUAGCCUGAAAUAAAAAUAUCAGACAGAAAAAAAAAAAUCCUCUUUCGGAGUGAGGGGCCCUGGCUGGCUCUGCCACCAGGGAAGGUUCCAGAGACGUGCCCGUGCCAAAGGCAAAUUAAAACACACCCUGUCAAAAGAUUUCCGCUGUCUCCCAAGUAUUUAUUUUUCGGAACUUGGUGAAGGAGGGUUUAAUUAAGACACCCUGAGGCGGGAGCCUUGUACUGAGUGGAAAGAAGCCGGUGGUUCCUGGGAGUCCGUGAGGCCAGCUUGGAGCAGGCGUGGUGGAGCUUCGCCCCUCCCCAACCGGGCUGGGGUCAGGGGCUCCCCCGGCUGCACACCUUCAAGGGGCUGAGCCUUCUAGUAAAGCAUGAAAAGAGGGGCCUCGGGCUGGUUUCCCCAGGGCGUGGAAAGGGGUUGGAGGGACCCCCAAGAAGGUGCGGAGUUCUGGGAGGGAGGGUGUUCGAGGUCACAGGACUUGUUGCCGACGGCCCCCUGUGGCCCCUUGACUUCGAGUGAGUUGUGGAGGGGUCCGCGGUGCAUGUCUGAGCUGUGGGCUCAGCGCGGGGCCCGUGGGGGCCGAUGGGCGUGCGGUAGCCAGCCCCUGAUGUUCCUCUGUUUGGGCUCCUCCUCAGUCCACGCCAGCAACUUCCAGAAGCACCUCUGCCCACUGCCGGAGCCUAGCUCCCUCCUCAGGGACGUCAUCUAACACGAGUGCCACCCGUUCUUUUCAGAAGUGAAUUGUCUGCUUUAAUCACUGGGCGGGAGUCACAAGAAGGUGAGACACAGUGAUGGAUGGUGUUGGCCGCAAGCUCCCCGGCCUGUGAGAUAAGCAGUUUGGGUCAAAUCAGGGAUGUUGGACGCAGGCGCCUUCUGGGGCCUGGUCAGGAGGGGAGCGUGCAAGCUCCCGUGGGCGAGGCUGGAAGGAGUGCUGGUGCCUGAGGGAGGUGGGACAGAGGCCCCCCGUGGUCCCGACGGCCAGCCAGCGUCUUGCUGCCCCCAGACCUCUGCUGGCCCGAGAUGCACGCCCGAGCCCCGCUCUGUGGGUGCCAGUGUGCGCCGACCCGGACCUUCGGUUUCAAGGCUGUUUGUUACACAGCAUCAUCGAGGUGACUGGUAGACACAGCCUGCGGACCUCUGUGUGCGGCCUCUGGCCUGGGCAGUUUCCAGGACAGAAUCUGACUCCCAGAUGAAAGAAAACAAAGUCCCUGCACAUUGUCUCCCUGCAUCGGGCCCGACGGCCACGGAAUGUACCAGCACCGUGACUGUCUGCUUUCCUCUGCCCUGCAAGGGCAGCUCACCAGCUCGCAGGGCCACACAGAGCCGCGUCUCCCUCUGGGGUGCGGGCGUGGAAGUGCUCGUGGCCCGGAGCCGAGGGUGCCAAGAGAGGAGAUGGGUGAGCCAAGCAGAACAGCCGUCUGUGAGUCACAGUUCCCAAAAACCAGCAAAUGGCCCAGCACCUGCUCGGCCACCCCCACCUGCUCCUGCCAGCCCUACCCGGGUCUUGGCCACUGGACAGUCACGGUGGGACCAGCCCAAAGUGACCACCCCCCCCCCCGCCCCAGAAGAAAGUGACAGAUGUUAGCGCCUGCGGGUUCUGCCCCACCCCUCCCAUCAACAGAUAUCAAGACAUGAAAAAUUGGGGUAAAUGAAGGGUGGGCGAUUAGGUCGGGCCCAAGCUGGGUUCUCGUGGGUGCCAGAGACAGCUGCAAAUGCCCGUCAGGGACACUUGCCCUGAUGCAGCGGGGCUGCCAAGCCAGGGUGCCUGGGGACAGCUGGACGAGGUGCCGACACGGGGCUCAUUCCUCCGUGAAGCCGUCCUGCAGCUGCUGGGAGUCCCGCCAGCCCCCGGGCCUGUGUGUGCCUCCGCCCGGGCUGUAUAGGAGGAGCCGUGCAUGGGACCCCCGGGCCGGGCUCCCUGCUUGGGGCUCUGGCUUAUCCACAGGUCUGUGGGAUGCCAGCCCCAGGCUUGAGCUGACGGGUCCUCUGGGGGAGCCUCUCUCUCUCUCUCUCUCUAGUCAAAUUCUGGGCUCGUCCUCCUGGCUCCAUCCAGGCCGGGGCUGGGCACCAACCCCUCCGUAACCAGCUUGACUUUUUCUCAGAGUUUGGCUUGAAAAUGUGGGCUCAGGAGCCCCGCCACCCACCCAGGCUCCCAGUGUGUGUGUGGGGGUAAAGCCCCCCCCCCCGACCCCUGUGUACCUGCGGUUUGCAGCCACUGAGCCCACGGGGUGAGGAAGCCAGCGAGCUGCCUCCCCAGCACCAGCCUCCACCCCUGCAGUUGCCUCAAGGUUUACAAAAAAG